ensembl:lncRNA
CGAGAUCUGGACUGGAGAUCUGUGGCCAAUGGAGCCCAGGGAAUUACCCAUACUGAGGAGCCCGGAGACCCUGAUUCCCAAUGGACUGCAGCUUCAGGAAGCAUGGUUGGAAGUGACCCAGGGAGGGCAAAUGGUAUCUCCCAUCUGUGUGAGGUCUGCGUGUUUCAGUGGGGUCUCCUGCUGACCCAGUGGUGGACCACUCCGCCACUGUUAGGGACCAGGAGUUGUGUGGCCCUGGGCCCCCCAACCUGCUCAGGUAUUGGCCAGUAGGCCACACUGCUCUGUAUCUGAGGGCUGUUAUAUUGAUUCUGGCAGCUAGGCCACCCUGCCGCGUACCUGAGGGCUGCCACAUUGACUGGCCACUAGUACCCUGUACUCGAGGGCCGCAGUAUUGACUCCGGUCACUAGGUCAUGCUGCCCUGAACUCAAGGGCCGUUGUAUUGAUUCCGACCAUUAGGCCACGCAGCCCUGAGCCCAAUGUUGGGGUAAGGACUGAAUCAGUCAGCCCUAGACAGUGUGUGUGUAUAUCAGAAGGCCCCAAGCUCAGGUUCUCCACCCCUGCCCAUAUCUAGUCACGGGCCUACUUAGUUAGUAAUAGGAGAUGUGACUGAAUAGUGAGGUGCGAACAGGUAAGUUUAUUUAACAAAACACAUGUGUGCAGAUGAUAAGGACCCCAACUUAACUACAAUGACGAAACAAACGUGGUUGUCAACAGACAGAAUUGGCUUGAAGCCAGAGCCCAAAAGUCCUUACAGAAACAUUAGGGAAAAUACAACAAGGAACAAAAUUAACCACACUACCAUAUCUUGAUGGCACUAAAACAGGUGGAUGGAUGCCACGGGGAUCAGGAAUCAGAUAGAGGACUCAGAGCAGGAUUACAGGAUGCAGGACCAGGAAUCGGAGAUCAAACUCUCAGGACCUUGCUUGGUUGCUGCAGGCCCACUUCAUAUCUUCACUGCCCCAGUGAUGGGAUCCCAGAAUGCUGGCUUUUUUCAUUUGUCGGGGCUUCCCCAGCUGCCAGAUUUCAGCAUCUCAUCGUCUGGAAGAAGGAGUUUUUGCCGGGCCUGAUGGCAAAAGUCAUGUAAUUACAUGACGUGUUUCCUUUUUGGUUUUCAGUGAAUCAGUUUUCUUUGUUCUCCUCCUCCUCCCAGACACACAUUCACAGUUGAAAAAAUGUAAGCCACAAAGGCUGAAAAGAAAGAAUAUCUUUGGUAACUGGUUUCUGUAACAAACUGCAGAGAUGAAUGGCAAAAUUUUGAUCACAGAUAAAGGUAAGAAACCUAAAAAAUCUGUGGCCACAGUUGAAACCCUAUUUGCAUGAUGUGUGAAGAGAGAACUACACAAUCUUGUAGUUAGAGUAUUCUCUAAUUCAGGGGUUCUCAAACAUUUUCAGGGUGUAGACCACAUUAAUAGAUUGUCUUGUGAAGAAAGCUAUUUGUUUUUGCUCGAUAAUCUAUUGUCCCAAUCUCUAUCACAUAUCCCCGCAGCAGUCACAGCUACAUGGGAAAAUAUUAGGAAAGCAUUUAAUGAAAUUUUAACUGUCUUUUCAUGCAAUUUAAAAGUGGCCAGCCAAUU